rnacentral:rRNA from 1 species
AUGCUUAGGAGGAUGUUCCAAGGUGGUCCUUCAAGGAAGCAAGGUCCCAGGCUUGCAAUAUGUGAUGCUGACAAGGAACCACCAAGAGACGCUCCUGUGAGGCCUUGUGAAUGGCCAUCGGAAAAUUUUAUGAAUCAAGUGCGGAUCAAAGAAGAAUUUAGCACAUAUUUGAGUAACGCCGGCCUUGAGUACUUUGAAGCUGACAAAUGCCCCCAGUAUCAUGAUCUCACAAGUUCAUUUGUGAGGAGGUUUGAGUUUUCAUCUUCGCGUAAUUCUUCUUCGGUCAUGUUUGACCUUUAUGACAAAUCUUAUACCAUGGACUUAGAGGAUUUCACUUCUGCUUGCAAACUUCCAUCUUGGGGUAAUAUCAGGGAUCCCCCUAAAUCUGAAUAUAGAGACUUUCUUGCUAGAAUAACUGUGGGGGAAUCUAGAGAUAUAACACAAGCCACUAUAGGGAACGUUCACUUUCCUGCUAUACAUUAUUUUGCUCUCUUCAUAGGUAGAUGUAUUAAUGCUAAGGAUGAAGCAUGUCACAUGUGUGUCCCUGAUCUCAGCAUUCUCAGGAGUGCUGUGUUAGGAGACCAAUCUUAUCAUAUGGGAGCCAUUGUGGCCCGCAGGUUGCAUUAG